AAGAUUAUAUAUAAGAACUUCUAAUUCUAAAAUAAUGAUAAUUCAUUUAAUCUUU
rnacentral:tRNA from 1 species